CCUACGGGCGGUAGCAGUGAGGAAUAUUGGUCAAUGGCCGGAAGGCUGAACCAGCCAUGCCGCGUGAAGGUCAGUGCCCUAUGGGCGUUAAACUUCUUUUGUGCGGGAGCAAUAAUGGUCACGUGUGGCCAGACGAGAGUACCGUACGACUAAGCAUCGGCUAACUCCGUGCCAGCAGCCGCGGUAAUACGGGGGAUGCAAGCGUUAUCCGGAUUUAUUGGGUUUAAAGGGUGCGUAGGCUGUGAGGUAAGUCAGCGGUGAAAUGCCCCCGCUCAACGGGGUGAAGUGCCAUUGAUACUGCCUUGCUUGAAUGCGGAUGCCGGGGGAGGAAUGUGGGGUGUAGCGGUGAAAUGCAUAGAUAUCACACAGAACACCGAUUGCGAAGGCAUCUCACGAAUCCGCGAUUGACGCUGAUGCACGAAAGCGUGGGUAUCAAACAGGAUUAGAUACCCUAGUAGUC
rnacentral:rRNA from 1 species